GAUGAACGCUGGCGGCGUGCUUAACACAUGCAAGUCGAACGAAGCACUUUAUUUGAUUUCCUUCGGGACUGAUUAUUUUGUGACUGAGUGGCGGACGGGUGAGUAACGCGUGGGUAACCUGCCUUGUACAGGGGGAUAACAGUUGGAAACGGCUGCUAAUACCGCAUAAGCGCACAGCAUCGCAUGAUGCAGUGUGAAAAACUCCGGUGGUAUAAGAUGGACCCGCGUUGGAUUAGCUAGUUGGUGAGGUAACGGCCCACCAAGGCGACGAUCCAUAGCCGAGCUGAGAGGGUGGCCGGCCACACUGGGACUGAGACACGGCCCAAACUACUACGGGAGGCAGCAGUGGGGAAUAUUGCACAAUGGGCGAAAGCAUGAUGCAGCGACGCCGCGUGAGCGAAGAAGUAUUGAGGUAUGUAAAGCUCUAUCAGCAGGGAAGAUAAUGACGGUACCUGACUAAGAAGCACCGGCUAAAUACGUG
rnacentral:rRNA from 1 species